CUGCACUGUCUUUGAACCUUUUUGGUCUCACCAUGACCUCCUAGGCCAAGCUACAGUGCUAAAUUACAUCUGAACUUGUUUAUAACUGGGGCCUCCUGGCAGCACCUCCGGGUCGCUCUUUUAAGAACAAGUGACAGCU